rnacentral:rRNA from 1 species
UUAAAUUGAAGAGUUUGAUCAUGGCUCAGAUUGAACGCUGGCGGCAGGCCUAACACAUGCAAGUCGAACGGUAACAGGAAGAAGCUUGCUGCUUCGCUGACGAGUGGCGGACGGGUGAGUAAUGUCUGGGAAACUGCCUGAUGGAGGGGGAUAACUACUGGAAACGGUAGCUAAUACCGCAUAACGUCGCAAGACCAAAGAGGGGGACCUUCGGGCCUCUUGCCAUCGGAUGUGCCCAGAUGGGAUUAGCUUGUUGGUGGGGUAACGGCUCACCAAGGCGACGAUCCCUAGCUGGUCUGAGAGGAUGACCAGCCACACUGGAACUGAGACACGGUCCAGACUCCUACGGGAGGCAGCAGUGGGGAAUAUUGCACAAUGGGCGCAAGCCUGAUGCAGCCAUGCCGCGUGUAUGAAGAAGGCCUUCGGGUUGUAAAGUACUUUCAGCGGGGAGGAAGGGAGUAAAGUUAAUACCUUUGCUCAUUGACGUUACCCGCAGAAGAAGCACCGGCUAACUCCGUGCCAGCAGCCGCGGUAAUACGGAGGGUGCAAGCGUUAAUCGGAAUUACUGGGCGUAAAGCGCACGCAGGCGGUUUGUUAAGUCAGAUGUGAAAUCCCCGGGCUCAACCUGGGAACUGCAUCUGAUACUGGCAAGCUUGAGUCUCGUAGAGGGGGGUAGAAUUCCAGGUGUAGCGGUGAAAUGCGUAGAGAUCUGGAGGAAUACCGGUGGCGAAGGCGGCCCCCUGGACGAAGACUGACGCUCAGGUGCGAAAGCGUGGGGAGCAAACAGGAUUAGAUACCCUGGUAGUCCACGCCGUAAACGAUGUCGACUUGGAGGUUGUGCCCUUGAGGCGUGGCUUCCGGAGCUAACGCGUUAAGUCGACCGCCUGGGGAGUACGGCCGCAAGGUUAAAACUCAAAUGAAUUGACGGGGGCCCGCACAAGCGGUGGAGCAUGUGGUUUAAUUCGAUGCAACGCGAAGAACCUUACCUGGUCUUGACAUCCACGGAAGUUUUCAGAGAUGAGAAUGUGCCUUCGGGAACCGUGAGACAGGUGCUGCAUGGCUGUCGUCAGCUCGUGUUGUGAAAUGUUGGGUUAAGUCCCGCAACGAGCGCAACCCUUAUCCUUUGUUGCCAGCGGUCCGGCCGGGAACUCAAAGGAGACUGCCAGUGAUAAACUGGAGGAAGGUGGGGAUGACGUCAAGUCAUCAUGGCCCUUACGACCAGGGCUACACACGUGCUACAAUGGCGCAUACAAAGAGAAGCGACCUCGCGAGAGCAAGCGGACCUCAUAAAGUGCGUCGUAGUCCGGAUUGGAGUCUGCAACUCGACUCCAUGAAGUCGGAAUCGCUAGUAAUCGUGGAUCAGAAUGCCACGGUGAAUACGUUCCCGGGCCUUGUACACACCGCCCGUCACACCAUGGGAGUGGGUUGCAAAAGAAGUAGGUAGCUUAACCUUCGGGAGGGCGCUUACCACUUUGUGAUUCAUGACUGGGGUGAAGUCGUAACAAGGUAACCGUAGGGGAACCUGCGGUUGGAUCACCUCCUUACCUUAAAGAAGC